rnacentral:rRNA from 1 species
UACGAAGGGGGCUAGCGUUGCUCGGAAUCACUGGGCGUAAAGGGUGCGUAGGCGGGUCUUUAAGUCAGGGUGAAAUCCUGGAGCUCAACUCCAGAACUGCCUUUGAUACUGAGGAUCUUGAGUUCGGGAGAGGUGAGUGGAACUGCGGAGUGUAGAGGUGAAAUUCGUAGAGUAUUCGCAAGAACACCAGUGGCGAAGGCGGACUCACUGGCCCGAUACUGACGCUGAGGCACGAAAGCGUGGG